CAGCCGUAAACUAUGCGCGUUAGGUGUACUGGUGACCACGAGUCACCGGGGUGCCGAAAGGGAAACCGUGAAACGUGCCGCCUGGGAAGUACGGUCGCAAGGCUGAAACUUAAAGGAAUUGGGCGGGGGAGCACCACAACGGGUGGAGCCUGCGGUUUAAUUGGACUCAACGCCGGAAAUCUCACCGGAUAGGACAGACAUAUGAUAGUCGGGCUGAAGACUCUACUUGAUGAUCUGAGAGGUGGUGCAUGGCGUCAGUGACU
rnacentral:rRNA from 1 species